rnacentral:rRNA from 1 species
UACGUAGGGGGCAAGCGUUGUCCGGAUUUAUUGGGCGUAAAGAGCGUGUAGGCGGCCAGACAGGUCCUCUGUGAAAACUCGAGGCUCAACCUCGAGAGGUCGGUGGAAACCGUCUGGCUAGAGUCCGGAAGAGGAGAGUGGAAUUCCCGGUGUAGCGGUGAAAUGCGCAGAUAUCGGGAAGAACACACGUGGCGAAGGCGGCUCUCUGGGACGGUACUGACGCUGAGACGCGAAAGCGUGGGGAGCGAGCAGG